rnacentral:rRNA from 1 species
AGUGAACGCUGGCGGUAGGCCUAACACAUGCAAGUCGAACGGCAGCACAGUAAGAGCUUGCUCUUACGGGUGGCGAGUGGCGGACGGGUGAGGAAUACAUCGGCAUCUACUUUUUCGUGGGGGAUAACGUAGGGAAACUUACGCUAAUACCGCAUACGACCUACGGGUGAAAGCAGGGGAUCUUCGGACCUUGCGCGAGUGAAUGAGCCGAUGUCGGAUUAGCUAGUUGGCGGGGUAAAGGCCCACCAAGGCGACGAUCCGUAGCUGGUCUGAGAGGAUGAUCAGCCACACUGGAACUGAGACACGGUCCAGACUCCUACGGGAGGCAGCAGUGGGGAAUAUUGGACAAUGGGCGCAAGCCUGAUCCAGCCAUACCGCGUGGGUGAAGAAGGCCUUCGGGUUGUAAAGCCCUUUUGUUGGGAAAGAAAAGCAGCAGGUUAAUACCCCGCUGUUCUGACGGUACCCAAAGAAUAAGCACCGGCUAACUUCGUG